AUGACGUCAAAUCAUCAUGCCCCUUAUGUACCUGGGCUACACACGUGCUACAAUGGUCGGUACAGACGGACGCAAAGCCGCGAGGUGGAGCAAAUCCUAAAAAGCCGGUCUCAGUUCGGAUUGCAGGCUGCAAUUCGCCUGCAUGAAGUCGGAAUCGCUAGUAAUCGCAGGUCAGCAUACUGCGGUGAAUACGCUCCCGGGCCUU
rnacentral:rRNA from 1 species